rnacentral:lncRNA from 1 species
GUUAUCUAUAGAUAAUCUAUUUACACAAUGAGCUCAAUAUGGAUUGAUUCCAUUAAACCAUGAUUCCUGAACUUAGUAUAAGAAAGGUUUAGAUUAUUCCAACCAUUCCCAUCCUUGGCUGAAUACAAAUGAUUAUAAAAAAUUCGUGUGUUCUUUUCUUUCCAAAGCAUCCAACACAGAAAUAGAAGCAACGAACUGAAUGCCUUCCUAAACCUUAUGAUUGCACACUUCCUCCUUGGGAUUGAUAUUGCAGUCCAUCCAUGUCUCCUGACAUCUCUCAUGCCAAACCAAUAUGAGUUUGGCCGAUAAACGUGCUAAUUAGCAGAUACUACAAAAAGAGAAGGAAGAGGAAGAGGAAGAGGAAGAGGAAGAAGGCAAGCAGCAUGCAUGAUGCAUUCUCCCAGUGAGGCAUUGUAGGAGAUGAGG